CAUUCAUAUAUAUUAAGCAUUCACCUACCCUUUUAAUAGAUAUCAACAUGAUGUUCUAUCUUGCUGAACCAAGCAUUCUUGUAUAAUUUUAGUUGGUAGUUUGAUUGGUGUGUUGUGAACGAUAGAGAAAUUUCUAGUCACGAGUUUCCAGGGUGAGUAUUCAAGAUGCCAGUUUAGUUAUGUGAAGAAGACCGCAGACUUGCAGGUUUCCGUUUCAAUCUUUUUAAUUGUUUCCCUUUCGGAUUAUGGUCAUCUGGCACGGUUUAAUUACAAUCUGAUGGUUUUCCAUGCUGGCAUUGUCAUGUACUAGUGUGACGCGAUUCUAGUUGCCAAGCAUAAAUAAUUUCCAUUCUUGUCCAUAUUGUGUCAUGAUCUUGACUAUUCUUAUCAUCCAAUAAUUAUCUCAAGUAUUUGCACCAAUCUUACUAAACUCUGUUCAACUCUACUUGAACAACUUAGCAGCUGCGAGGGAGAUGUGUCUGCUUAGUGCGGUCGAGCUGCCUUGGGCAUUGAGAUGGUGCUGGGAGCAUUGUGCGUCUUUGAGGAGUAAGUGUGUUAUUCUCUCUUGGAAGCCAUGUAUUAUAACUAGCGCGUUGGCCUUAUCCUGUUCGACACACAGCAGAGGCGCAAAGGUGCGCCUAGCAUUGGUGCCAAAGAAAGCCGGUGCUGUUCUUUGUCCUCAACCCGCUCUACACCUUCAAACCGCAACAAUUAUAAGUGUGGAGGGAGUUUGUCAAAUAUGAGAUGUUGAUGAGUCUUACUUGGUGCUCUUCUUCAUCAUUGGCUUGCUCUGCUCCUUCAAGUCGCAACACUUGUAAGUGUGGAGGGAGUUUGUCAAAGAUGAGAUGUUGCCAAGACUUACUUGGUUUGUGUGACGGUUGCGAAAGCAUGUUGUUGUUCUCGUCGUCUCCUGGUAGUAGCAGCCGACACUCGGUUUUGUUCAUGAGCAGAGUCAUCUCCAUUAAUUCAGUUGACGAAGAGAAGAGGAGGACGGCGUCGGCGAAUACAAGGAUGGACGGAUGAAUUCAUCAGCAUAAUUAGUUAGGUUUCCUUUUUAUUUUUUUAAACAGAAGAUAGUUCCACCAU